AUAAAAAAUAAAAAAUAAACAAUGAGGUAAAGAGUUAAAUCGUGUCUUGAAAAAUAGAAUAAAAAAAAUAAAAAAAAUAAAAAAACAGAAAUGUUGAGAGCAGAGGAAAUGGAAAUGGCAAUAGCUGCAUAAGCAUAGAUGGAAUGAGAGUGGAAAAGAAAGAAAGAAAGAAAGAAAGAAGAAAUGAAUCCCACGUCAAUAUCAGGUGAGAGUUCAAAACAAAACUGACACAGAAAGUGAGAAAAUCAAGCACACACGCCACCACCACCUUCAUUGCCUUCGCCGGCAAACGCCACCGAAAAACCUAACGGCCACACCGUUCGUCGAUUCAAUUUAACCUCUCUAUCUCUCUUUCUCUCUCCAAUUCUUCGUAAGCAUCUUCGGCGGAAUUUUCCUCACUUGAUUUGAAUCGAGUUUUUACUUUUCCAAUUGCGCGGCGAUUUGGAGAAUUUCGUUUGCGAUGAACAUGCCGCCGAAGCCAAACCAGGUGGUAGUGAGAGACCUCGUCGAGGAAGCCAAAAAACGGAUCGUCAUCCUCGUUGUAUGCGUCGUCGGAAUCUCCUAUCUCAUGUCCUUAACAAGCUCCUCAGUUUGGGUCAACUUGCCAGCUGCAGCCUCCUUGAUUAUUAUUCUCCGCUAUUUGUCACUAGAUUUUGAAAUGAAGAGAAAAGCAGCGGCAUACAACAAUAAAGCAGGCUCCAUCAAUGUUCAGUCUUCAAAGAAGCCUGUAGAAAAUCCUAAAGUUAUUGCAAAGUUUGAAUGGAAAACAAAAGUGAAUUCUCCUGUCGUUGAGGAUGCAAUUGAUCAAUUCACCAGACAUUUAAUUUCUGAGUGGGUGACAGAUCUUUGGUAUUCUCGGUUAACACCAGACAAAGAGGGUCCUGAGGAGUUAGUGCAAAUAAUUAAUGGUGUUCUUGGGGAAAUUUCAGGACGCAUGAGAAACAUAAAUUUGAUAGAUUUUUUAAUAAGGGAUCUUGUUAAUGUUAUUUGCACACACUUGGAGCUGUUUCGUGCUGCCCAUUCAAAGAUUGGAAAACAUCAUACUGGUCCAUUAACAAUCGAAAGUCGAGACAUGGAACUAAAAAUUGUUUUGGCUGCUGAGAACAAAUUGCAUCCUGCAUUAUUUUCUGCAGAAGCUGAGCAUAAGGUUUUGCAGCAUCUGAUGACUGGCCUUAUGCAUGCUACUUUCAAGUCUGAGGAUUUGCAGUGUUCUUUCUUUCGAUAUACUGUCAGGGAGCUUCUUGCAUGUGCUGUAAUACGACCUGUCCUAAACUUAGCAAAUCCACGAUUUCUUAAUGAGAGAAUUGAAUCCGUAGUGGUUAACAAGACCAAGGUUAACAAGGGGGUUACUGCAGCUCAAGAGGCAUCUCACACUAAAGAAGAUGAGUUACAGGCUUCCUCUCAUGAUUUCACCAAGACUUCGGAUCCUUCUGUUACUGGUGUUGAGCUUAUGCAGCUAAAAAAUGGUCAAUCCAGAAAUGUAGAGACAUCUGCAAAACAAAAUGCUUGUGAUAAUGCUAUUAAAGAUCCAUUGCUUUCAGUUUCAGUUGAUACUCGAUCUUCCCGUACAUGGAGCUCAUUGUCCGCAAACCCCGAAACUAAUGGUGUCCAAAGUAUUCAACAACAUCGCUCAGGAGGAGAGUGGGGAGAUAUUUUAGAUGUCAUCUCUCGCAGAAAGACCCAAGCUCUUGCUCCUGAACAUUUUGAGAAUGUGUGGACUAAAGGGAAAAAUUACAAGAAAAAAGAUGGUGAGAACCAGUCAAAUGAGCAUGCUACACAGCAUCCUGUGGUAGGGAAACUGCCAAAGGUAGACCACAUGAAAGCAAUUUCUGGACCCAAACAAAGAGAUAAUAAUUCCAAGCUUAUUCCCCAAAAGGGGCACCACAUUAAUUCUGGACACAGUAGUCAAUUAUCUGUUGAAAAUACAUCCAUUCAUGUGGACAAGAAUGGAUCAAGUUCAGUUACCUCAUGUAAAGAUGAUGAGUCAGUUACAUCAUACAAAGACGAUGAGAACAUCCACAUUUAUGGGCAGAUAAGUGAUUCAGAGAGCAGUACAUCUUAUACUUCUGAAGAUGACGAAAGUAGUACUGUCACUGGUCUUGAUUCCCCUGUCACUAAGGUUUGGGAUGGAAGAAGUAAUAGAAAGCAGGCAGUUUCUCAUGUUCAUCACCCACUUGAAAAUUUUGACAAUCACAGUGCAAAGAAAAGGAGUAAGAGCCAUUCUCGCUAUUCAAGACUAUCCAGAGCCCAAUCUGGCAAUAAAAGGUCUUGGUCAGGUGUUCAUAAAAUGCAAACCUGGCAGGAAGUUGAGAGGACAAGCUUUUUAUCUGGUGAUGGUCAAGACAUACUUAAUGCUUCAAAAUCACAUGUGGAUUCUGAGUCCAGUGAUGAUGGUGAUAUUGAAAGUUUGGGCAGACUUUAUAGUGGAGCAGCAGCCUCUUCUUCUGCCCACUCUAUUUCUAAAACAGAAUCUAGUAGUUUGCCUUUUACUCCCCUGAAAAGUUCCUCUGGGGUAGAUUCCUUUUACAAGUUGAGAUGUGAGGUCUUAGGUGCAAAUAUUGUGAAGAGUGGCUCUAAAACAUUUGCUGUGUACUCCAUAUCCGUUACAGAUGUAAAUAAUAACAGUUGGUCAAUUAAAAGAAGGUUUCGUCAUUUUGAGGAGCUACAUAGACGCCUGAAAGAGUUCUCUGAGUAUAAUCUUCAUUUGCCACCAAAACAUUUUCUGUCGACUGGUUUAGAUGUACCAGUCAUUCAAGAGCGGUGUGAAUUACUGGAUAAAUAUUUGAAGAAACUUAUGCAACUACCAACAGUUUCGGAAUCAAUUGAAGUGUGGGACUUUCUCAGUGUUGAUUCUCAGACUUACAUAUUCUCAAAUUCUUUUUCUAUCAUGGAAACGUUAUCAGCUGGCUUGGAUGCCAAGCCAUUUGAGAAGACUAAAAACACUGCUCACUUUUCUGCACCUACAAGUGAUCCUGUGUCCUUCCGGAGAGAAAAUUGUAGUGCUGAAAGUAAAGAGUCAGUUAUGAAAGGAAAAAAUAAUGUUGAGGCCGAUGCAUUGAGGUCAAAAGUAAACAACAUGCCUCUUUCUCUUCCAAAAAAGAAUACACAUCAACCUAUAAAGUCAUUUGACAAUUCUAGAGGCAAUACAGAUAUUCUAGCACAAAAGAGUGCACCUUCUCCCAAUAACUCGCAAAAGCCAGUGAAAGGAAGAGAUAGUUCGGAUGAGGUCUGUGAAGUGCACCGUGAUACUUCUGAUGCUUUUCCAACAGAGUGGGUGCCGCCAAAUUUGAGUGUACCUAUAUUGGAUUUGGUUGACGUUAUCUUACAGGUUCAAGAUGGUGGAUGGAUUAGGCGGAAGGCUUUUUGGGUUGCUAAGCAAGUCUUACAACUAGGAAUGGGUGACGCAUUUGAUGACUGGUUGAUUGAGAAAAUCCAGCUUCUUCGAAAGGGAUCAGUGAUUGCUUCGGGGGUCAAGCGAGUAGAGCAAAUACUCUGGCCUGAUGGAAUAUUCAUAACCAAGCAUCCAAAUAGACGACCACCACCACCACCACCUAGAAACCCAUCUCAAAGUUCUCCUCGUGGUAAUCAAACUACAGAAGUAUCUUCUCCUAUUUUGGAAGAUGAACAGACACGGGAGGCAGAUCGGCGAGCAAAAUUUGUAUAUGAGCUAAUGAUUGAUCAUGCACCACCAGCAAUUGUAGGUCUUGUUGGUCGGAAGGAGUAUGAGCAAAGUGCUAGAGAUCUAUAUUUUUUCCUUCAGUCAUCCGUUUGCUUGAAGCAGCUGGCUUUUGACAUCCUGGAGCUGCUUCUGACGUCGGCAUUUCCAGAGCUUGAUGAUAUUUUCAAGCAGCUGCACGAGGAAAAGCAUAAAUUUGGUGAGUUCAGAACACAGUAAAUAUUGAGAUGAAGAUGAAGCGCUUUGUUUGUCUUCGGAAAUACACUUUUUUUCUUGUGAUAUUUCGUGGUCGGGUUGCCCUUUUGUCUCUGCAACCGCUGGCAUCCAACUACUGAGCUACAAAGGCAAUUCAAAUUUUCCACCUAUAAACCAUCUGGUGUCAGAUAAUUGUGCCGGACGACUGCCAAGGUGGGCUCCCCCGUGUAAGUGAUCCGUUUAUUGUGCGAAAGCUCUUAUUAAACGGAUUAAAAUCACUACAAGUCAUAAUACAACAUUUUUUUUUAAAUGAAACAGUUCUUGAAAUUUUUUAUUUAUAAAUACUUGCUAUAAUUUACAUACAGCCAGUUAUCUUAUAAAUAGGAUAGAGAGAGAUCAUAUAAACUCAUUUUUCUUUCGCUUAGACCUAUGCAUAUUCUUUUCAUGAGAAACACAUUUUAACAUUUGAUGAGAUCUGACGUACAGCUAUUCUAAUAA